rnacentral:rRNA from 1 species
UCCAGACUCCUACGGGAGGCAGCAGUGGGGAAUAUUGGACAAUGGGGGGAACCCUGAUGCAGCGACGCCGCGUGGGCGAGGAAGUAUUUCGGUAUGUAAAGCCCUAUCGGCAGGGAAGAAGAAAUGACGGUACCUGAAUAAGAAGCACCGGCUAAAUACGUGCCAGCAGCCGCGGUAAUACGUAGGGGGCAAGCGUUAUCCGGAUUCACUGGGUGUAAAGGGAGCGUAGACGGCGACGCAAGUCUGGAGUGAAAGCCCGGGGCCCAACCCCGGGACUGCUCUGGAAACUGCGGCGCUGGAGUACGGGAGGGGCAGGCGGAAUUCCUGGUGUAGCGGUGAAAUGCGUAGAUAUCAGGAGGAACACCGGCGGCGAAGGCGGCCUGCUGGACCGUGACUGACGUUGAGGCUCGAGAGCGUGGGGAGCAAACAGGAUUAGAUACCCGUGUAU